rnacentral:tRNA from 1 species
UGGCUCAGUGGGUAAAGCGUCUGCCUACAAUGCGGGAGACCCAGGUUCGAUCCCUGG